rnacentral:piRNA from 1 species
UGAGCAAUGUUAGGUUGUGGCAGUAAU